rnacentral:lncRNA from 1 species
AGACGCGGCUGAAGGUGUCCUGGUGUGCGUGGGCUCGGAAGGAGGGUGCAGGAGUGCUCGGCUUUCACCGGGGUCUCCGGGAGGGCAGGUGUUUUCUGAGUGGCCGAGGAGGCGCCAAGUGGUUGAGUGACCUGUCCAGGGUGUCACAGAGCGACCCACUCCGGGCCACGGGGUCUGGGGCUCCCGGCUUGCCUGGUGAGGGGCUUCCGUGUAGGCCGAGGGGGUUCUCGCUGGUGCAGAGCAGGAGAUGGGCAGGGGAGACGCGUGGACCCACUCGUGGAACGUCAUGGUUUGCAGGUGGCAAAUGUCCGUCUCCCUGAUGAACGGGCGCUUCUGGACGCGGGGACCUUAUCCACUGUAGGCCCUUGGAGAGGUCGGGCGUCGAGGAGAGGAGCCCCGGGAUCCUUGCCGAGGGUGAGGGCCGGCCGGCCCAGGAAGUGGGGAGGGCCAAGCUGGAGGGUCCCGGGUCGAGGAAGAAGGAGCGGGGAUGGGCUGGGUCACAUGCUGCGGAGUGGACGAAUAAUGGGAGACUGGACCGUACCCUGACCAGAACCCUGUGCGGGAGAGGUGGGGAAGGAGCAAGAAAUGGAGGCUGGGAGGGGCUGUGGGGGCCUGAGCUGGAAAGAGUCAGCCCGACUGGGGGUGUCCUGCGGUACGUGCUGUGGAGAGGGGCUUCGCGGAAUCGGGCCCCUAACGGGUGGGACCCCGAGGCCGCGGGUGGGGGAUGGUGGGGAAGAGGUUUUCCAGGAGAGAGUCCCUGGCUGAGUGAGCACUGUCGAGCACACGCCCAGCCUGUCCGUCACUCCUGAACAAAUCUGCUUCUCUGGAGGAGCAGAAGGAGAGUUGGGUGCGGGAUAGAGGUGAGAAGAGUGCUUGGACACACAGGCUGUGGGGUCCCCAAGAUGGUCUCACGGGUCUCUGGGAUGAGAUGCGGCUACCAAGACCCUACGUGCAGCCAGGAGACUGACCAGGCCGCUUUAAGGCUGGAAGAGACAUGGCCCUGCCAGCAUCCACCUGACAGUCCUGAGGACUGUGUGACUGGGCUCAGUCUUGACCUUCACGGGAGACCACACAGCCUGGUACACAGCAGGGGCUAUGCAGUUCUGGGUCACUUGACAGCCACUCCAGACGAGGCCGCAAGCACUGGACAUGGGGUUUUCCAGCCUUCUGGGGUGGAGCCAUCUUUCUUAGGCCAGGAUUAGUCCCUCCCCACACAGUGCCUCUGCUUGUGCUAGUGGCCUGGUGACCUCCCUUAUGCCAUCCGACGUCACCCCAACCUGCUGUUCAAACUUUAUUGUUAGAAAUUAUUUAUUUCCGGCCGGGUGCGGUGGCUCAUGCCUGUAAUCCCAGCACUUUGGGAGGCCGAGGCAGGCGGAUCACCUGAGGUCAGGAGUUCCAGACUAGCCUGAUCAAUAUGGACAAACCCCGUCUAUACUAAAAAUACAAAAGUUAGCUGGGUAUGGUGGCAGGUACCUGUAAUCCCAGCUACUCGGGAGGCUCAGGCAGGAGAAUCACUGAAACCCAGGAGGUGGAGGUUGUGGUGAGCUGAGAUUGUGCCAUUGCACUCCAGCUUGGGAAACAAGCGCAAAACUGUGCCUCAAAAAAAAAGUUAUUUCCUUCUGAAAUUGUUCUUCAAAUGUUUCUUGUCACAUACAUGCAGCAGUAAUUUGGUAGAAACAUGAGAAAUUGUGAUCCUCUGUCUUGCUCAGCUUGGCUCCCCUCCCCAACCAGCAUUAUCUGCCCGCACCCCCAAUCCCCAACAACUGAUGUGUCCUUAUCUCCCUGCCCCCUACCGCGCCCCCGUAGCAUAAUUGUAUGCCACAUAUGGGCACACCAUCACAUAUGGCUAAAAUGGGAUCACUCCGUAAUGAAUGAAUAUAUAUAUAUAUAUAUUUUUUUUUUUUGAGAUGGAGUCUCGCUCUUGUUGCCCAGGCUGGAGUGCAAUGGCGUGAUCGGGGCUCACUGCAACCUCCGCCUCCCGGGUUCAAGCGAUUCUCCUAUCUCAGCCUCCCGAGUAGCUGGGACUAUAGGCGCACACCACCAUGCCCAGCUAAUUUUUGUAUUUUUUAGUAGAGACGGUGUUUCACCAUAUUGGUCAGGCUGGUCUUGAACUUCUGACCUUAGGUGAUCCACCUGCCUUGGCCUCCCAAAGUGCUGGGAUUACAGGCAUAAGCUACCGUGCCUGGCCAAUGCUAGGCACUUUUUAUGGGCCAGGGACUGAUCUAAGUACUUUUCAUGCACACUGCUUUUCUUUUCUUUUUUUCUGAGAUGGAGUCUCACUCUGUUGCCCAGGCUGGAGUGCAGUGGCGCGAUCUCGACUCACUGCAACUUCUGCCCACAGAGUUCUAGCGAUUCUCCUGCCUCAACCUCCCGAGUAGCUGGGAUUACAGGCGCCCGCCACCGCACCCAGCUAAUUUUUUGUAUUUUUAGUGGAGACGGGGUUUCACCAUCUUGGGCAGGCUGGUCUUGAACUCCUGACCUCGUGAUCCACCCGCCUUGGCCUCCCAAAGUGCUGGGAUUACAGGUGUGAGCCACCAUGACCCACCUCAUGCACGCUGCUUUUCUAAUUUAGUGUCUUAUAAUUGUGGAGCUAUGUCUUGUGAAAAGGUAUUUCCAACAAGAUUCUCUGAGAUAGUUUUCCCAUGUGCUUUCAGUGCCUCAGGGGUGGGGUAGUCCAUAGGAGCCCCUGUUACCCAUUCAGGAGUGGGUGAGGGGAGACCCCAGGGACCAAUGCCAGCAGGAAGAGGUGGGGUGGUUGGGAGGAUGGAGAUUGCACAUGCUUGGGGACAGCUUGGAGGUGCGUGUUAGAAUUUUUCUGAGAGGGGUUAAGGUGCUGUUUUGUGAAGCACAACGAGUUAGUGAGUGCUAAAUCUCCAUGACCCCUGCCGUCUAUAUGGCUUGGAUACGUCAUGUCAACCUGACAUAAAGCCAUGGGUGAACAUUCUCUGGGACCCCACCUGUGUGUGGGGAAAAGCAAGAGAGAUCAGAUUGUUACUGUGUCUGUAUAGAAAGAAGUAGACAUAGGAGACUCCAUUUUGUUCUGUACUAAGAAAAAUUCUUCUGCCUUGAGAUUCUGUUAAUCUAUGACCUUAUCCCCAACCCCGUGCUCUCUGAAACAUGCGCUGUGUCAACUCAGGGUGAAAUGGAUUAAGGGUUGUGCAGGAUGUGCUUUGUUAAACAAAUGCUUGAAGGCAGCAUGCUCCUUAAGAGUCAUCACCACUCCCUAAUCUCAAGUACCCAGGG